rnacentral:rRNA from 1 species
GACGAACGCUGGCGGCGUGCUUAACACAUGCAAGUCGAACGGAAAGGCCCUGCUUUUGUGGGGUGCUCGAGUGGCGAACGGGUGAGUAACACGUGAGUAACCUGCCCUUGACUUUGGGAUAACUUCAGGAAACUGGGGCUAAUACCGGAUAGGAGCUCCUGCUGCAUGGUGGGGGUUGGAAAGUUUCGGCGGUUGGGGAUGGACUCGCGGCUUAUCAGCUUGUUGGUGGGGUAGUGGCUUACCAAGGCUUUGACGGGUAGCCGGCCUGAGAGGGUGACCGGCCACAUUGGGACUGAGAUACGGCCCAGACUCCUACGGGAGGCAGCAGUGGGGAAUAUUGCACAAUGGGCGGAAGCCUGAUGCAGCAACGCCGCGUGCGGGAUGACGGCCUUCGGGUUGUAAACCGCUUUCGCCUGUGACGAAGCGUGAGUGACGGUAAUGGGUAAAGAAGCACCGGCUAACUACGUGCCAGCAGCCGCGGUGAUACGUAGGGUGCGAGCGUUGUCCGGAUUUAUUGGGCGUAAAGGGCUCGUAGGUGGUUGAUCGCGUCGGAAGUGUAAUCUUGGGGCUUAACCCUGAGCGUGCUUUCGAUACGGGUUGACUUGAGGAAGGUAGGGGAGAAUGGAAUUCCUGGUGGAGCGGUGGAAUGCGCAGAUAUCAGGAGGAACACCAGUGGCGAAGGCGGUUCUCUGGGCCUUUCCUGACGCUGAGGAGCGAAAGCGUGGGGAGCGAACAGGCUUAGAUACCCUGGUAGUCCACGCUGUAAACGGUGGGUACUAGGUGUGGGGUCCAUUCCACGGGUUCCGUGCCGUAGCUAACGCUUUAAGUACCCCGCCUGGGGAGUACGGCCGCAAGGCUAAAACUCAAAGGAAUUGACGGGGCCCCGCACAAGCGGCGGAGCAUGCGGAUUAAUUCGAUGCAACGCGUAGAACCUUACCUGGGUUUGACAUGGAUCGGGAGUGCUCAGAGAUGGGUGUGCCUCUUUUGGGGUCGGUUCACAGGUGGUGCGUGGCUGUCGUCAGCUCGUGUCGUGAGAUGUUGGGUUAAGUCCCGCAACGAGCGCAACCCUUGUUCACUGUUGCCAGCACGUUAUGGUGGGGACUCAGUGGAGACCGCCGGGGUCAACUCGGAGGAAGGUGGGGAUGACGUCAAGUCAUCAUGCCCCUUAUGUCCAGGGCUUCACGCAUGCUACAAUGGCUGGUACAGAGAGUGGCGAGCCUGUGAGGGUGAGCGGAUCUCGGAAAGCCGGUCUCAGUUCGGAUUGGGGUCUGCAACUCGACCUCAUGAAGUCGGAGUCGCUAGUAAUCGCAGAUCAGCAACGCUGCGGUGAAUACGUUCCCGGGGCU